AUACGAAGGGGGCUAGCGUUGUUCGGAAUCACUGGGCGUAAAGCGCACGUAGGCGGAUCGAUAAGUCAGGGGUGAAAGCCCGAGGCUCAACCUCGGAAUUGCCUUUGAUACUGUCGAUCUUGAGUCCGGGAGAGGUGAGUGGAACUCCGAGUGUAGAGGUGAAAUUCGUAGAUAUUCGGAAGAACACCAGUGGCGAAGGCGGCUCACUGGCCCGGUACUGACGCUGAGGUGCGAAAGCGUGGGGAGC
rnacentral:rRNA from 1 species